GCCGGGCGCGGUGGCGCGUGCCUGUAGUCCCAGCUACUCGGGAGGCCGAGGUGAGAGGAUCGCUUGAGUCCAGGAGUUCUGGGCUGUAGUGCGAUCUGCCAAUCAGGUGUCCGCACUAAGUUCGGCAUCAAUAUGGUGACCUCCUGGGAGCGGGAGACCACCAGGUUGCCUAAGGAGGGGUGAACCGGCCCAGGCUGAAAACGGAGCAGGUCAAAACUCCCAUGCUGAUCAGUAGUGGGAUCGCGCCUGUGAAUAGCCACUGCACUCCAGCCUGGGCAACAUAGCGAGACCCCAUCUCU
rnacentral:SRP_RNA from 1 species